rnacentral:lncRNA from 1 species
AAGAAUGUUAAAACGCACGUCCAUAUGCAACAUUAAUCACAUGCGUGUCAUUCAGAUAAGAAACUAUUGAUACAUGCAUCUAAAAAAUUACAAUUGCAAAAAAUAAUAAAAAUAAAAAGCUUCUUAAGUCGCGCAUGCCAAAGUCUUUUUCUUUUUUUUAAUCACGAGUGCUUUGCAUGACUUACAAAGUUUCUUUUUCUAUUUUUGUAAUUGUAUUUUUCUAGAUGGUCAUCUUCAAAAUUUUCUUUUAUUACGUGUAUUUUUCUUUUAUUAGAAGACACUGAUGAUGAGGAAACAUAAACAAAUGAAGGAGCUGAUCUUGUUGUUGCCAAAUCGCCUUCAGCUAUGUUUCGUGACAUCCCAUGACCUUGGUUAAUGUGACCUACACAACACAUCUGACUCUCUUUACCCCUCCCAGGGAGAAAGAAAAGGAAACUCGUCAAAGCAUCAAACCUAGUGUUGGAACCAACAGCUAUUGCCCCCCAGCAGAGUGUAAUUGCCCCCCGGUCCUAGAAAAAGGCGAUGAAAAUCGGCCAAAGCUAGGGUUCUGAAACUGCUAAACCGAGUCCUGGCUUUCUCAUUCGCUAUGACGGGUUUCAACUGUUUUCCCUGCAUCGUGUCCAUGUUGGUCGGCUUGCGAACCAGCCAUCUACAGAAAAGGUAACCUUUCCUGAAGAACAGCACACAAGUCUUGGAUACGGGCACUAGUAUCGUUUUAUUAUUGCUUAGCUAUUUUCCCCAAACUGGCCAUUGUUGGGGUAUUCUUGUAAAACCAAACUAAAUGAUAUGAGGAAUUGAAGAGCUCUCAAUGUCAUACUGUAUAUGACAUAAAUUGACUUUUAAUAGUCUGCAAUACAAAUAUUAUUCAACAGCUGUUUAUACAAUAAUCAAUCGAGUAUAUUCAGCCUCAAAGCGACUAGCACCAAAGGUAGACACGUCUUCUUCCUUAUCGAAGGAAGACAUUCUUCCGAGGUGCUAAGCACCUGCCGAAGCUUCCGACUGCCAAAAGUCCUAAUCGCGGAACCUAAUCUCCAAGACACGUGUCACCAUCACGACGACUUGUACAAAGUCCCACAUCGAAACUUUGUGCAAACCUCCCACUUUCACAUCCCUAUAAAUAGGGAACAGUACCCGAGUAAAAAUGGUAACUACUUUCUCACCUUUACUGUUACUCUGCCAAAGUUACCACUUACAGUUGACUUAUAAAGAACCAAGGAUACUCCCGCCUCGGUUCAUAGGAAAACCCUAGCACCAUUUCACCUUCCCUCUCAAAUCCCUUGUACCUACACACAAUUUGAAAUACAAAUUUGAAAUUUAAAAAAAAAUACGAGAGGAAUUUAGGGACCUUGCCUUGUAGUCGGGCUUCACAAAUUGGCAUCUUGGUGUGGUCUUCGUCAAGAAAGUUAUGCCUUCGGCACCUUUUGAUUUGGAAAUAAUUUGUGAAGCCCGCAUUUGCCGAAAUAACGAGGCCAAGGACACCCACCUUAGCUCCAGUCAAGGUCACCAAAGCCCAGCUCCAGUUCACGCGAAGUCUCCUUCCAAAUCUGUCAAAGAAUUCACAAACAUACUAUCAUACCAAAUGCUCAAACUGGCCUUGCCGAACGACAAGCUCCAUGAAAGAAUUUUGAAGGAAACGCACAAUAUACCUUCCCAAAAUGACGAACGGUAUCAGCUCAAGACUUGGAACGUACUGAAAACAGAGGAGUCACAAUUUGCUCAAGACACCCUUGCCGAAACGGCAAGGGUUAUGCAAAGCCAAAAUGGGUGCUCUUGAAUGAAACACCCUUGCUCUCACUGAAGGCCCAGCUCCAAACACCUUUCUGAGCAUUUCCUUGUCGAAGCCAUGACGAGAUUCCCACGAAAUCCCACUCAACUCAGCCUCCUUCAAAAAUCACGACGCCAGAUCACUGCUGCAGUCAAAAAACCUUCAACCCACAGCUUGUCGAACGCGUGCAGAAGGAAAGGAAGCACACACAAAGACACUCACCUCCUGAGAGGCCCAGCCCCAAUUCCCAGCUUCAAAUACCUGCUGAGUGACCCAGCUUCCAAAUCGGGUCCUUCCUAGCCCCAGACCGGUCUAACACCGUACGAUCACUUUGAACUCCUUGCUGAAUGAGACAAAGACACACGAGCUCACAAUUUAAAACCAAGGCCACUCUUGCCGAACAGCAAGGGCCGUGGGAAAUUGAAGGGAGGCUCACCACAAACUUGUACCCAGACCACUCGACUCGAGCUGCCCCAAAAAUCGUCCUCCAAGUUGUUUCUGCCGAAUGAUAGGAGCACGCUAGCCACUUCCUAGUUUACGGCUCAAGAGUUUGUGCGUACUGUGGUCUUGUCGAUCGGCAAUUAGGCUGACAAAGAAGAAUUCGCAAGGACUGCUCUCAAAGGCACACUGAGAGGCAGGGUUCAUAUAACACAAAUAAUCCGAACCUUAGCUCCAACCUUGCCGAACGGCAAGAGUUGUUGAGAGUUAUUUACACUCCUCACAAUCCCAAAAACCCUAACAAUUAGCUAGGUCAAUGAGACUUGCUGAAGCCCAGCCCCAGCAGCCUGCUCUAAGCACAUGCCGAAGGCCCAUCCCAAUUAGGCCCAGCUCAUAGCCCCUCCCCACCGAACUUGAAAACAGCCCUACGAGCUCACAUCCAAACUUUUGGAACCUGCCGAAGGUCUAGCUCACCAAAGUUAAAAAAUUAAAAAUUAAAAAUUUUUUAAAAAAAAAACAACAACAAAAGGAGGGGGUGGUCCUUGCUGAACGGCAAGGGCCAUGUAGAAGGAAAGUAAGGCCUCACUAAAGCCAUUGGCUCCUACCGAAGUCCAAGGGUGACUUCUCGAAGUGGUGCUGACGAAGCUCGGCUCCAAUUCAAUGAGCCCACUAGCCCAGCACCGAAUAUCCACAAGGCCCAGCCCUCCACCUGCUCCUUGACUAAACGCCCAGGUACCCAGCUACCAACAAUUCUAGAGGCUCACACAGCUUUUAUCAUACCUCCCAAGUGGUGACGCAACUUCUAGCUUGCCAACUUGGGAGACUAGGGAAUGCCCUAAGACUCCUGCUGAAGCUAGAAUGCUUGGUCACGAUUACACAAAAAUCUAACAAGUUUCCAACCCAGAAGUUACUUCUUAACCACGAACUUAGGGGAUUACUGUUUACAUCAUAAUCAACCGAGCAUAUCCAGCCUCAAAGCGACUAGCGCCAAAGGCAGACACGCCUUCUUCCCUGCCAAAGGAAGACAUUCUUCCGAGGUGCCAAGCACCUGCCGAAGCUCCCUACUGCCGAAAGUCCUAAUUUCUGAACCUAAUCUCCAGGACACGUGUCACCACCACGGCGACUUGCACAAAGUCCCACAUUGAAACUUUGUGCAAACCUCCCACUUUCACCUCCCUAUAAAUAGGGAACAGUACCUGAGUAAAAAAAAGGUAACUACUUUCUCACAUUUACUGUUAAUCUGCCAAAGUUACCACUUAUAGCUGACUUAAGC